GGCUCUCUUUGUCCUUGUAUAGUUUCACCAUUCUUUCUGAUCAAAUCAUCAUACAAUUCGACCGUACUAGAUAAAUCUUCCCAGUUUGCUAUAUAUCUUACACCCACACAUAUCUGAAACCCAGUCAUCCUCCUUUUGCUCUCUGCUUUGCUACCCUGUUCCUCGACCAUGGCGGAGCUGCUGGACGAGUUCGCGUCCAAGCUUGUGGGCAUCCUGGCAGGCAUGGUGAAGGAGGAGGUGGAGAUGCUCCUCGGAGUGCCGGGCGAGGUCAGCAAGCUCGAGACCACGCUCCGUGACCUGAGCCACAUCUUGGGUGAUGCGGAGAGGAAGCGCAUCCGCGACAAGGCUACGGAGGGUUGGGUGAGGGAGCUCAAGGACGUCAUGUACGACCUCGAUGACGUCCUUGACCUCUGCCAGCUUAUGGAGGGCGGAGAAGAUCCUCCCGCACCAACAUCUGCUCCAAAAACCACCUCAAGGUUCUGGGACAUCAAGAUGUUCUUUUGCUUCCGCAACCCAGUUGUGGCACAUGAGAUUGGAACGAAGAUCCAAGCAAUCAACCAGCGACUGGAAGAUCUGGCAAAGAGGAGCUCCCGUUUCAGAUCCAUCACCCAAACCAUCCAUUCCUCAGCUGAUUCAAUCAACAAAACGUUAACCGAAGAGACUGGAUCGGUUUUUAUCCGGUCUGAUGUUGUCGGCGAGAAGAUUGAGGAUGACACGAAGAAAAUUGUUGAUCUACUCAUCAAGAAGGUGGAUGCUCCUGCCGGAUCAAGGGUCAAUAAUGAUGUGGUUGUUGCUGCUGCUAUCACAGGCAUAGGUGGGAUAGGCAAAACCACUCUGGCUAAGAUGGUCUUCGCUGAUAGUAGGGUGGAGGAAAACUUCGAGGAAAGGAUCUGGUUGAGCGUUAACCGUGAGUUCGAUGAGAUCAAUGUCCUACAAAGUAUUAUAGCUUCUUUUGGUGCCAAACAUGAAGGUUGUGCGGGAAACAAGGACCUACUUCAGCGUGCCCUUAAGGAUACGAUCCGGCAAAAGAAGAAGUUUUUGUUGGUGAUGGAUGAUGUGUGGAGCGAAAAUGUGUGGUAUGCGCUGCUUAGAGAGCCGCUCAGUCAUGGUGCUUCUGGCAGUCGAGUCUUGGUGACCACAAGAAAUAAUGGAAUUGCUCAUGGGAUGAAAGCUCAACAUCUCCAUCGAGUUGACAAGCUAACCACGGAAGAUGCUUGGAUUUUGCUAAAGAACCAGGUAGUUUUGAAUGAGAGUGAUGAAGCCGAUGUUGAUGAAUUGAAGAGUAUCGGGAUGGAAAUUGUUGAAAGAUGUGACCAUUUGCCGUUAGGAGUUAAGGUCCUUGGAGGACUCUUGCGCCGCAAAAGUAGAACAAGAGAUGCCUGGAUGGAUGUUAGUAGCCACAACACUUGGUCGACAACAGGAAUCGAUGAAGAUAUUAAUAAAGCGGUCUAUUUGAGUUAUGAAGACUUGCCCUCACACUUGAAGCAAUGUUUUGUGUAUUGUUCGCUAAUCCCUAAAGAUGUAAUGAUAGGAAUGCGAGUUAUAGUUGAGCUUUGGAUCGCACAAGGUCACGUGGACAACAAAACAAGCUCUAAGGCACUAGAAGAGUUGGGGGAAGAAUACUACAAUGAAUUGGUUUCAAGAAAUCUUCUAGAACCAGACAAAAGUAACUAUAGUAUAGAAGCAUGCAGCAUGCACGAUGUUGUCCGUUCCUUCGCUCAGUAUAUAAUUAAAGAUGAAGGGAUACUUAUUAGUGAUGGGCAGGAUUUCAAUAGAACUCUUAGCACUGCAAAGCUUCGGCACCUAUCCAUCUCAAACAAGGCAGUAGGGCAUGGCACUUUGCAAAAACAAGCCUUGCUUAGAACAUUAAUGUUAUUCGGAAGCAGCACCACUGUUGAGCUGAAGAAUCUGUUGAACAACCUUUCUUGCCUAAGAGUACUACUUCUAGUAGAUGUAGAUCCAGUUGAACUGCCAGACUCCAUAUGCCACCUCAAACAUUUAAGACACUUGCGUAUUGAUAACGCAAGCAUAUCCACGAUUCCACGAGAUAUAGGUAACCUAAAAUUUCUUCAAGCCCUUGAACUUGCAGGGUGUACAAAUGUUUCUCAACUUCCUACCAGCAUUUUGAAGCUACGGAAGCUAAGGUCACUCAACUUGAGAGGCACGGCAAUCACUUCAAUUCCUCGUGGCUUGGGAAAACUAGAAGAUUUGGUUGAAAUAAAUGGGUUUCCAACACAUUAUUCAGAUGAGAGCACAGGUGGCUGGUGCAGCUUAGAAGAACUCAGACCUCUGUCGAAGCUCCAAAGCCUUGAAAUAAGUUGUCUGGAGAAGGCACCUUCCGGUUCUAUGGCUGCUAAAGCAAACCUUAGCAGUAAACAUCACUUGACAAACUUAGACUUGAUAUUUACCAGCAGGCUAGGAGACAAUGGAGAGGUCGAAGGCAACAUUAGCGAGGAGGAACACAGGAGAACAGAGGACGUCCUGGAUAAUCUGUGUCCUCCACCUUGCAUGGAACUACUUGAUAUCAGUGGCUACUUUGCACGCGGGCUACCGCAGUGGAUGAGAACCAUGUCAGCCUUUGGGAGCUUAAGGCGGUUAGCGCUAGUUGACUACGCAUGCUGCACGCGUCUACCUAAUGGAUUGGGGCAGCUCCCCUUUCUUGAUUACUUUUGGGUCGAGCGUGCUCCGUCUGUCCAGUGCGUUGGGCAUGAUUUCCUCUUCCCCUCCUUGGGUGGUCAAGCCAAGAGGCAGCCUCAUCAUACUUCGCGUGGUGCUGGUGUUGCAUUUCCCAAGCUGACAAGAGUGGGUUUUGUAGGCAUGCUGGGAUGGACAGAGUGGGAGUGGGAGCAGCACGUCCUAGCGAUGCCUGCACUAGACAAGCUUAUAAUCAGAAACUGCAAACUGCAACGCCUUCCUGCAGGGCUAGCACAGCAUGCAUGCCGGUUGAGAGAGUUGUACCUGAGAAAUAUCCAGCUCUUGGUCUCCGUGGAGAACUUCCCUUCAAUAGUCAAGCUUUGGUCGCUUGACAACCCAAGGCUGGAAAGGAUCAGCAACAACCCAAGCUUGCAAUGGAUUGGCAUUAGCAAUUGCCCAGCACUAGAGGAAUUGGAUGGUUUGCCAUCCCUUCGAAGCGUGGAGUGGUGGGAUUGGAUUGCUGAAGCACUCCCAGAAUACUUGCGAGAGGCAAAGCUAAAGAAGUUGCAUGUAGAUUGCAGCCGAAGCUUGCUCAAACUGAUAGCACUACAAGAUGAAUCCUCCGAAUGGGGAAAGAUCCAGCAUGUCCAGCAAGUAAAGGCGUAUGGACACAAGAUAGAAGGAGGAGCAGAGGAAGCCGACCAAUCGCACGAAGAUGAAGAUGCCGAGUGGUACAUCUACUAUACCAAGGAGCCGUAUUCAUUUGACGCAUACCUGGGCAAGUCCACAGGAUGAAGAUGAAGCACCAGUAGACGAGGUGAACGAACAACAGAGUCCAGGAAUAGAACAUAGUAAGAAUGCAAGGAACAGAGGAAGCUUUCAGCAGGCUGUUACGACUGGACGAGCAUUCGAAUCCAUCCACCAAAUACUAGGAGAAAGAAAACCAAGAAGGAGAAAAAGACAUUGCAAUUGGGUGGCGGUGGCAGGCAAUGUGGCAUACUGUCCCUCAGAAUCCUUUGUCGUAUAUGUGCGCGCGCAGAUGUGUUCUGCAACUCUGGAAAGCUGUUGGUCCUCAUGGAUCCUCUGGAAAGCUGAAGCUACUCUGCAAGACUGCAUAGGAGCUAUAUUCAUUUCGAUCCGUCCAUAAUGGCAGCUAUAUUCAGAGAUGACAGCCACACCUUAUCAAAGCCACAGCCGCGCCGCGCCACCGCCACGUCCCCGCUGCUACUGGUCGAGGUCGUCCCCGCCCGCCGCAGCCCAUGAGUUGAACGCCGGCAGCCCGAGGCGAAGGCACAGGGACCCAGUGGAAGCGCGCGUCCGCCGCACGUGGCUACCGCACCGGCUAGCUGCCGGUGAGGCUCCGACGAGCGUCGUCGUCCCUGGCACCCUCGACGUUGACUCGUGCUGCCGGCGUCCAAGUCGUGGGGCGCGGAGAGCGGGGGCGACCUGCCGACCUGGACCAGCAGCAGCGGGGGACGUGGCGGCGCUGUGGUUCGGGACGGCGGCUCGCGUCGCGCGCGUUCGUGCUUGAUCGUGUCCGGUGGCGCCACGCGUGUUGCACAUGGCGGCCAUCGGAGCACCUGUACCUCAUCACGUGCAUGCUCCAUCCUGUACACAAGCGACGUUGGUGCGCCGUCACAGGUGCGAGUGGGAGCGCAGGUGCGGCGGCUCCGACGACACGAUCGAGCACCCCGGGCGGGCGGUCGAGUUUUGUGCCGGUCCCGGGGAAGAGCCUGCCACCGCAUGCGGCGACGAUGGCCAUGCGAACGCGAUAUCCCAGUGUCGACGAAGCAUCCACAGCUACACCGACAGAAUUUUCGGCGAGGCUGAGCUGGCAAGCGCGGACGGACUCCAUUCGCCGGGAGAGUCGCAGGCCACCUCGACGUCGAGGCCUCAAGCGAGCCGCGCGCGCGUCCGCCACUUUCCACUGCGUAGUAGUAGUGUAUAAGCAGAGCAUGAUUCGCUGACUGACACUUCACCGUCGAGCCAGCCUCAAACGCCGCGCGCGCGGGGUCUUGUUGCCGCAAGACGACGUGCAGAAUAGCAUACUGCGUGCGCUGUGAGUCCAGCAAGAGGCCGCUCAGUUGGUUGCGUCUGCGCGCGGGUGUCCACUGGUGGCGGCGGUGCCGACGAUGCCCGCCCGGGCGUCCGCCGUCAACACCACACGUCGUCCUUGGGAAUGCGCUUGACGCAGAGAAACGAAGCGACCAGGUCAAAAUCGGACGUUAGAAUCCGUGCCAUACGCGCCGGAUCUGACGGCUGCCAGGGCCAAGGGCACUCUGGGCAGUGGGACUGCGUGACUCGAGCGUACCAAGAGUCGGUGGACAAGGAGGUUCAGCGGCCUGCAGGGCUGGGCGCUGACACGGCUUCAUCAGCGGCCUUCACCGCGGCUCCAUGGAGUUCCGGCUUGCCGAGUGGCCCGAGUUCGAAGUACCGAGAAUGGACGGGCUGCCGGUCACCCCGUCGACCAAGCACCCGACUUCUGCCGACACCCGGAUGCCAUUCCUCGCGCUCCAGAUCGAGCCACGACAGCAUCACCGACUUCUGCGGCCACGAGCUAGAUUGCCUCUAGUGUUGGAACACAAAGCGGCCGCCACAGCCGCUGGAGGCAGGUGGGUGGGUUGGUGUGGGGGGUGGCGCGGUUGAGAGGUGGAUGGGGGGGAACUUACCACUUCGGGGACAUCCCUAGGGACGUUGUAGCCGAACAUCAGCAUCUCGUCCUCCGAAGACGAGGAGGCUUCCAUGGCUUGAUCCGGCGGUGUGGCGGCGGCGAGGUCGAGGGAGGGAAUAGAGCGAGAGAAGGUGGAGGCGUUGGAGGCAGCGUCGGGGUGGAUAUACAACUCAACUGAGCGUCGGCCGGCCUGCUAUCUUCACUUCUGGCCCAAUCUCCUCCAGUAUGGCCUGCUACUGGUGUAGGAGGAGAUAGCACGGCCAACUAUCUUCAGUUCCGACCCGAUCUCCUCCAGUUCGGCCUGCUACUGGUGUAGAAGGAGAUAGCAUCGCCUGCUAUCUUCGGUUCCAGCCCAAUCUCCUCCCUGCUACUGGUGUGGAAGGAGAUAGCACCGCCUGCAUUUUCGGUUUCGACCCGAUCUCCUCCAGUCCAGCCUGCUAUGGACACGGUGAUGGAACAGUGGCCAAGUACACCGUGAUGGACGUGUCCAUGGAACGUUGUGCCAUGGACACGGUGCGACAGACCAUGGCCAUGGGAGCCUCUUGUGGAAUGAGAAGGAGAGUCUCCUCCUAUUCGUCUUCUUCUACACGGAGUCUGGAUCCGACGUCGAAGUUUUGCCAAAGGAGGGCCAUAUUUUGGAUGAACUUGUACAAAAUCAUCCGGAUCUAUUCAAACCACAAGGUCGGAUUUGUUAGAAACGACGAUAAGGGUUAAACGAAAAGGAUGAGAAAUGGAGAGGGAUUACCAA